AAAGAAAAGAAAAAAAAAAAGAAACUAUUACUCCAAAAGCGAAUUGAUUUGUGUAAAACAUAAGAAACGAACCUUAUAGCCCUUCUCAAUGAGCAACUGAGCUGUCACUUGUCGGAGAUAGACUAACAAUCUAGAUGUGGCUAAGAAGCUCAACUGGAGCUUCAGUAGCUUUGAAAAUGCCAUUAAUGGCCACUGUAACAGUGGGCUAUCAAAAUUCUUCUAUUCCUUGCCUUGAUCUUGCAUUUUCUUUAAAUAGUAAUCAAGAUUAAUUCAAGGAGAGGGAAAGAAUUUGGAUGCUGUUUGUAACGAUCCAAACUGGAGGCUAUUACCAGUGUUAGGGAUCAGGUCAGUUUAAUGUUGCAGGAACCUGUAGCAAACCUAAAAACCUAUUAAACAUAAAAAUAUUUCUAUAUCUCAUCAUCAAAGCAUAAACCAAACCAUUACACUUUAGUUGUGGUUUAGAAUUUGAUGUUUUACAUACAUAAAAUUACUAAAG
rnacentral:misc_RNA from 1 species